AGACUAGACUGUUUCCAAGAAUGGAUAUUUCUGUGCCUUAAAAAUUACCUUAUGGGUAAUCAUGUGUUCAAAAGUUCUUGAAUUCAGAAGUCAAGCGCCAUCCUUCUAGGAAGAAAAUUUUUUCAGCACCAUUUCCUUUGGGAAGGAAGAGAACCACUGCCCUGUCACACCAUGAAGGGAGAAAGGGAGAAAUCUGGACCUUGUUCAACCAAUGAGUUGCUGAAAAAAUAUAGGGCAGUGAGGUGGCAAUCCUGGGAUCAGGAAGAUUCCUUCAUAAGUUCAAAUCCUGACUCAGAUACUUCCUAGCUCGGUGACCCGGGGCAAGUCAUUGUUUACUUCAGUCUCCUCAUCUGUAAAAUGAGCUUGAGAAGGAAAUGGCAAACCACUCCAGUCUUUGCCAAGAAAAUUCUAGAAGGGGUCUUGAAGAUUUAGACACACUAAAAUGGCUCAACAUCAACAAAUGGGCAAUUUGGGUUGUUUUAUGUUUCUGCAUUUGUUCAUGGGCACAUGGGAAUCCUUUGCUUACUGUACUUUUUUGUGAUGGUUAAGAUAAAGGGUUCCAUACUACUAUACUAUU